GGAAUCUUGGUCAAUGGGCGCAAGCCUGAACCAGCGACGCCGCGUGGAGGACGAAGGCCCUCGGGUCGUAAACUCCUUUUGCGUGGGAAGAAGCUCUGACGGUACCACGCGAAUAAGCCACGGCUAACUACGUGCCAGCAGCCGCGGUAAUACGUAGGUGGCGAGCGUUGUCCGGAUUUAUUGGGCGUAAAGCGCGUGCAGGCGGUUCGUUAAGUCCGGUGUGAAAGCUCCCGGCUCAACUGGGAGAGGUCACUGGAUACUGGCGGACUCGAGGGAGGCAGAGGAAGGUGGAAUUCCCGGUGUAGUGGUGAAAUGCGUAGAGAUCGGGAGGAACACCAGUGGCGAAGGCGGCCUUCUGGGCCUUUCCUGACGCUGAGACGCGAAAGCGUGGGGAGCGAAC
rnacentral:rRNA from 1 species